CAUGCAGUCGAGCGGUAGCACAGAGAGCUUGCUCUCGGGUGACGAGCGGCGGACGGGUGAGUAAUGUCUGGGAAACUGCCUGAUGGAGGGGGAUAACUACUGGAAACGGUAGCUAAUACCGCAUAACGUCGCAAGACCAAAGUGGGGGACCUUCGGGCCUCAUGCCAUCAGAUGUGCCCAGAUGGGAUUAGCUAGUAGGUGGGGUAACGGCUCACCUAGGCGACGAUCCCUAGCUGGUCUGAGAGGAUGACCAGCCACACUGGAACUGAGACACGGUCCAGACUCCUACGGGAGGCAGCAGUGGGGAAUAUUGCACAAUGGGCGCAAGCCUGAUGCAGCCAUGCCGCGUGUGUGAAGAAGGCCUUCGGGUUGUAAAGCACUUUCAGCGGGGAGGAAGGCGUUGAGGUUAAUAACCUUGUCGAUUGACGUUACCCGCAGAAGAAGCACCGGCUAACUCCGUGCCAGCAGCCGCGGUAAUACGGAGGGUGCAAGCGUUAAUCGGAAUUACUGGGCGUAAAGCGCACGCAGGCGGUCUGUCAAGUCGGAUGUGAAAUCCCCGGGCUCAACCUGGGAACUGCAUUCGAAACUGGCAGGCUAGAGUCUUGUAGAGGGGGGUAGAAUUCCAGGUGUAGCGGUGAAAUGCGUAGAGAUCUGGAGGAAUACCGGUGGCGAAGGCGGCCCCCUGGACAAAGACUGACGCUCAGGUGCGAAAGCGUGGGGAGCAAACAGGAUUAGAUACCCUGGUAGUCCACGCCGUAAACGAUGUCGAUUUGGAGGUUGUGCCCUUGAGGCGUGGCUUCCGGAGCUAACGCGUUAAAUCGACCGCCUGGGGAGUACGGCCGCAAGGUUAAAACUCAAAUGAAUUGACGGGGGCCCGCACAAGCGGUGGAGCAUGUGGUUUAAUUCGAUGCAACGCGAAGAACCUUACCUGGUCUUGACAUCCACAGAACUUUCCAGAGAUGGAUUGGUGCCUUCGGGAACUGUGAGACAGGUGCUGCAUGGCUGUCGUCAGCUCGUGUUGUGAAAUGUUGGGUUAAGUCCCGCAACGAGCGCAACCCUUAUCCUUUGUUGCCAGCGGUCAGGCCGGGAACUCAAAGGAGACUGCCAGUGAUAAACUGGAGGAAGGUGGGGAUGACGUCAAGUCAUCAUGGCCCUUACGACCAGGGCUACACACGUGCUACAAUGGCAUAUACAAAGAGAAGCGACCUCGCGAGAGCAAGCGGACCUCAUAAAGUAUGUCGUAGUCCGGAUUGGAGUCUGCAACUCGACUCCAUGAAGUCGGAAUCGCUAGUAAUCGUAGAUCAGAAUGCUACGGUGAAUACGUUCCCGGGCCUUGUACACACCGCCCGUCACACCAUGGGAGUGGGUUGCAAAAGAAGUAGGUAGCUUAACCUUCGGGAGGGCGCUAC
rnacentral:rRNA from 2 species